rnacentral:rRNA from 1 species
UCUGGUAUUGAUUGGUGCUUGCAUCAUGAUUUACAUUUGAGUGAGUGGCGAACUGGUGAGUAACACGUGGGAAACCUGCCCAGAAGCGGGGGAUAACACCUGGAAACAGAUGCUAAUACCGCAUAACAACUUGGACCGCAUGGUCCGAGUUUGAAAGAUGGCUUCGGCUAUCACUUUUGGAUGGUCCCGCGGCGUAUUAGCUAGAUGGUGAGGUAACGGCUCACCAUGGCAAUGAUACGUAGCCGACCUGAGAGGGUAAUCGGCCACAUUGGGACUGAGACACGGCCCAAACUCCUACGGGAGGCAGCAGUAGGGAAUCUUCCACAAUGGACGAAAGUCUGAUGGAGCAACGCCGCGUGAGUGAAGAAGGGUUUCGGCUCGUAAAACUCUGUUGUUAAAGAAGAACAUAUCUGAGAGUAACUGUUCAGGUAUUGACGGUAUUUAACCAGAAAGCCACGGCUAACUACGUGCCAGCAGCCGCGGUAAUACGUAGGUGGCAAGCGUUGUCCGGAUUUAUUGGGCGUAAAGCGAGCGCAGGCGGUUUUUUAAGUCUGAUGUGAAAGCCUUCGGCUCAACCGAAGAAGUGCAU